CAAUAGCGUAUAUUUAAGUUGCUGCAGUUAAAAAGCUCGUAGUUGGGUUUCGGGUGGGAAUGGCCGGUCCGCCGUUUCGGUGUGCACUUGCUACGCCCACCUUGCUGCCGGGGACGUGCUCUUGAGUUCACGCUCGGGACACGGAGUCGGCGAGGUUACUUUGAGUAAAUUAGAGUGUUCAAAGCAGGCCUACGCUCUGAAUACAUUAGCAUGGAAUAACACGAUAGGACUCUGGCCUAUCUUGUUGGUCUGUAGGACCGGAGUAAUGAUUAAGAGGGACAGUCGGGGGCACUCGUAUUUCAUUGUCAGAGGUGAAAUUCUUGGAUUUAUGAAAGACGAACUACUGCGAAAGCAUUUGCCAAGGAUGUUUUCAUUAA
rnacentral:rRNA from 1 species